CAAUAGCGUAUACGAAUGUUGUUGCAGUUAAAAAGCUCGUAGUUGAACUUCUGGUAGGAGUGUCCCGGCCUUUUUGUUUUUACAAAUUGUAUGCUGUGUGACAUCUCUGGCCAUCCUUCUUCUUUGUUUAAAGAAGAUCUUUCACUGUAAAAAAAUUAGGGUGUUCAAAGCAAAAGUUUCUUUGGAAUAUAUUAGUAUGGGAUGAUAAGAUAGGCUCUAGAUGCUAUUUUGUUGGUUUGCACAUUUAGAGAAUGAUUAACAGGGACAGUUGGGGGUAUUCGUAUUUACAUGUCAGAGGUGAAAUUCUUGGAUUUUGGAAAGACGAACUACUGCGAAAGCAUUUACCAAGGAUGUUUUCAUUAA
rnacentral:rRNA from 1 species